rnacentral:rRNA from 1 species
CAAGUCGAACGCGAAAGUGGAGCAAUCCAUGAGUAGAGUGGCAAACGGGUGAGUAACGCGUGGGCGACCUACCUCAGAGUGGGGGAUAACCUUCCGAAAGGAGGGCUAAUACCGCAUGACAUGCCUUGUUUAGAUACAGGGACAUCAAAGCCGGGGAUCGCAAGACCUGGCGCUUGGAGAGGGGCCCGCGUCCGAUUAGCUAGUUGGUGAGGUAACGGCUCACCAAGGCUCCGAUCGGUAUCCGGCCUGAGAGGGCGGACGGACACACUGGGACUGAGACACGGCCCAGACUCCUACGGGAGGCAGCAGUGGGGAAUUGUUCGCAAUGGGCGCAAGCCUGACGACGCAACGCCGCAUGGAGGAUGAAGACCUUCGGGUCGUAAACUCCUUUCGACCGAGAUGAAUUUCCGCCGACCUAAUACGUCGGCGGGGUGACAGUAUCGAGGGAAGCAGCCCCGGCUAACUCCGUGCCAGCAGCCGCGGUAAUACGGGGGGGGCAAGCGUUGUUCGGAAUUACUGGGCGUAAAGGGUUCGUAGGUGGUUCGCUAAGUCAGACGUGAAAUCCCUCAGCUUAACUGGGGAACUGCGUCUGAUACUGGCGAACUUGAGUGCAGGAGAGGAACGCGGAAUUCCAGGUGUAGCGGUGAAAUGCGUAGAUAUCUGGAGGAACACCGGUGGCGAAGGCGGCGUUCUGGACUGCAACUGACACUGAAGAACGAAAGCCAGGGGAGCAAACGGGAUUAGAUACCCCGGUAGUCCUGGCCCUAAACGAUGAAUGCUUGGUGUGGCGGGUAUCGAUCCCUGCCGUGCCGUAGUUAACGCGUUAAGCAUUCCGCCUGGGGAGUACGGUCGCAAGGCUGAAACUCAAGG